GUUUUCGCUGAGAGCAACACCAUCAUUUUGCUUUAAACGGUGCUGCUGAAAAACCCCUCACUUUCCCUCCGAAACACAGAGCGCACAGAACGAUGGCAGGAGAAGAAAAACGACACCAGAUGAUGCAGAAUCUCUUCGGAGAUGAAUCCGACGAGGAAGAUGAACUCGAAUCCAAUCCUCAACUCAAUUCCGAUGAAGGAGAGGGAGAGGUAGGCCAAGACGGAGAAGGAGAAGGAGAAGUUGAAGGACAAGGAGAGGUGGAAAUAGAGAGUGAAGGGGAGAUGGCGCAGAUUUCUCGGGAGAUUGAAGUGGAGUUUGGUGAUCAGAGAGAAGAAGAGAGUGGAGCUAGGGAUUCGGAUAGUGAUGCUAAAGAUGAUUAUAGUCAGCGCGUUGUUACUAGCCGGCGUAGGGAUGUUGUUGAAAGUGGAUCUGAGGAGAAUCAUUUCAAUGAAAAUGAUGGCGAAGAAGUUGAUGCAGCUAGAAGCCUAAGCGGGUCACCUAGAGAUGAGAAUGAUCAAACUCGUGAUUUGCAUUCUGCCCCGGAAAUCCGUGAUGUAUUUGGUGAUUUUGACGAUGAAGAGGAGGACAUGGGGUAUGCAGCUCAGCAGGACAUUGGACGAGAUUCAAAUAGAUAUCCAGCGGAUGCAGAAGGGAGUUAUGGAAAGAGCCUGAGACCAGAGGAUAUGCUUGCUGAUGAAGAUCACGAAUUAGAGGAGGAAAACAUUGAAAUGAAAACUAAAGAUAAGCCACUUGGGCCCCCCUUGGAGUUAGAGAUUCCAUUACGUGAACCACCAGCUCUUCCUAAUAAGAUGAACUUGAUUAAAGUUUCCAAUAUCAUGGGUAUUGAUCCAAAACCUUUUGAUCCUAAAACAUAUGAGGAAGAGGAUACCUUUGUAACUGAUGAACUUGGAAACAAGAAGCGCAUACGCUUGGAGAACAAUAUUGUACGUUGGAGAGAAGUCAAAAAUCCUGAUGGCACAACUUCUGUUGAAAGCAACGCUCGAUUUGUAAGGUGGUCUGAUGGUAGUCUUCAGUUGUUAAUUGGGAAUGAAGUUCUUGACAUAUCAGAGCAGGAUGCCCAGCAUGAUCAAUCACAUCUUUUCCUUAGACAUGGAAAGGGAAUCCUGCAAUCACAAGGAAGGCUAUUACAGAAAAUGAGAUUUAUGCCAUCUUCCUUGUCCUCAAAUUCUCAUCGAUUGUUGACUGCUAUUGUUGACUCAAGGCAGAGGAAGGUUUAUAAGGUUAAAAACUGUGUUACAAACAUUGAUCCUGAGAAGGAAAAGGAGGAAAAGGAAAAGGCUGAAAGUCAAACUAUUAGGGCUAGCGAACUGCUUAGCCGUAAGCGUGACAAGGUGAAUAAAAAAUAUACUCCAACUGACAGGAGGCCUCAACUUUCUCCUGGGUUUUUAGAGGAUGCAUUGGACGAGGAUGAUGAAGCAGAUUACUACGAUCCUCGUCAUAAACAGCGUCACUUUGAGGACGAAUUGGAAGCUGAAGUCCGGGCAGAGAAAAGGAUUAUGAAUGCUAAGAAGUCACAGGGACCAAAGAACAUCCCCUGUAAGUCAUCUAUUCCACCAGCAAAAUCCUCACGGAACCCAUUGGGUUACCCAUAUGAGAGAGAGGAAUCUGAAUAUGAAACUGAUGAAGACGAAGAAGAAGAAAUACCUCAUUCACGUACGAGGGAUGAUGAUACUGAGCCGGAGUAUGAGGACUCUGAAGAAGAUGAUGAAGAGACUGCUCAAGCCGAUUCUGCUGCUUCAGAAGAGGAAGAAGAGGAGGAACCGAAGCAUAAGAGUCGGGAUUUAAAAGGUAAGGUCAAAAGGAAGGGGUUUGAAUCUGAAGAACACUCUCUUCCUAGAAAACCAACCAAUCGGCGAAUGACCAUUGUGUCUGACAGUGACGACGAAUGAAAUUCUGUUCUUGCAAUUGGAAUUUGGAAGGAGCAAUGCUUUUUGCUGCAGCACAAGCUGAGAUGACGACUCGUUUUGCUUUUUCCCUCCUCUAUAUUCAUGCUUAUAAAAACUUAAAUUUUAAAGUUAUAGACACAUCAAGAAGAACCACAGGCACACAUCAAUUGGAUGAAGUAGAGGGAGAGGUAGGGCAAGAAGGAGAAGGAGAAGUGGAAGGACAAGGAGAGGUGGAAUUAGAGAGUGAAGGGGAGAUGGAGCAGAUUUCUCAGGAGAUUGAAGUGGAGGUUGGUGAUCAGAGAGAACAAGAGAGUGGAGCUAGGGGUUCGGAUAGUAUGCUAAAGAUGAUUAUAAUCAGCGCAUUGUUACAAGCAGGCGGAGGGAUGUUGUUGAAAGUGGAUCUGAGGAAAACCUUUUCUAUAAAAAUGAUGGUGUAGAAGUUGAUGCAGCCAGAAGCCUAAGGGUGUCUAGUCUAUACAAAUAUGUCUUGUGUAGAUUGUACAGAUUGCAUUAAAAAUUUCCUUCAACCAAGUUGUCUGUGCACUUAUUUCUAUCAUUGAAUUUCAAAUCCAACAAGCUUCAGAUUAAGAGUAUUAGAGUAAUCCUUAGCAGCAGUGAAGUAAAAGAGUAUAAAAAAGCAGCAUUGAUCUAAUUUGGGCCAAAAUACCCCAUAUUCCUUUUCUCCUCUUAGCUAACUCUCUGAUCCUAGUCACUGUUUGGCUUCCAUAUGCUAUUUGGUCUCACCAUCAAGAAAAAAAACAACUUGCACACCCAAAGAAUUUGAAAGAGAAGGAAACUUGUGCAGAACAUGCAAAUUUCAAGGACUUGCAGACGCAGACAGAGAGUAGCCGCGUCCAGGCCCUGAGACUUAACAUCACCCAACAGAGCCGUUUCUGUGUUUCCUCGAGAAAAACAUGCAAAUUUCACCCCUGGUGCCUGAUAUUCUGCGGAUGAAGAAGGGACUUAUGGAAAGAGCCUGAGACCAGAGGAUACACUUGCUGAUGAAGAUCAUCAAUAUGAAUUAGAGGAGGAAAACAUUGAAAUGGAAACUAAAGAUAAGCCACUUGGCCCCCCCCUUGGAGUUAGAGAUUCCAUUAAGUAAACCACCAGCUCUUCCUAAUAAGAUGGACCUGAUUAAAGUUUCCAAUAUCACGGGUGUUGAUCCAAAACCUUUUGACCCACAAGAAGCGCAUACACUUGGAAAACAAUAUUGUACGUCGGAGAAAAGUCAGAAAUCCUGAUGGCUCAACUUCUGUGAAAGCAAUGCUCGUUAUGUAAGGUGGUCUGAUGGCAAUCUUCAGUUAUUAAUUGGGAAUAGGGGUGGGAAUAGGCUGGGCCGAGCUAGGCUUUGCCAAGCCUGAGCCUGGCCUGCUAUAAUAUUCAAAGCCUAAGCCUGGCCUGUAGCCUAUCAUAGGCUUAUUUUUUUGGCCUGGGCCCGGCCUUUUUGAAGGCCUGAUUGGCCUAUUAGCCUACUUAAAAGCCUAUUUCAUUUGAACAUUUGUAAAUAAGUCAUUCAACUCGUCUUUAUAUAGACUAACAAAUUAAGAGAUCAGUGAGAUUAAAUGUUUGUUUGCAUUAGUUUAUUUAAGUUUACCUAGUAGCAUAAAUUUUGUGAUAUUAUUUGUUUGAGAGAACUUAUCGAAACAACUUAUGACAUUGUUCAUAAGAUUCUUUUCAUCUUAUUUUCAUAAUUUCUUCAAGAUAACUAAUUUUUUUUUUAUAUUUUUAAUUCAAAGUAAAAAAUAUAAUAUAAUAAUAAUAAAAUUAUUCAUAUUUAUUUAAGUAGGCUGGCCUCUUAGGGUUAAAAGGCUUUUUAUGUGGCCUGUGGCCUAGCCUUUUUAGCUAAAUAGGCUUAUAAAAAAGCCUAGGCCUUUUCUAUUUAUCUAAAAAGCCUAGCCUGACCUAGGCCUAUGUAGGCUGGGCCGUAGGCCCCUGUUAGUUGGCCUGGCCUAUUCCCACCCCUAAUUGGGAAUGAAGUUCUUGACAUAUCAGAGCCGGAUGCCCAGCAUGAUCAAUCACAUAUUUUUCUAAGACAUGAAAAGGGAAUCCUGCAUUCACAAGGAAGGCUAUUGAAGAAAAUGAAAUUUAUGCCAUCUUCCUUGUCCUCAAUUUCUCAUCGGUUGUUGACUCAAGGCAAAGGAAGAUUUAUAAGGUUAAAAACUGUGUUACAGACAUUGAUCCUGAGAGGGAAAAAGAGGAAAAGG